AGUAUGAGAAAGUUCUGAUCUUGACAGUUCACGUAACAUUCAAUCAAUUAUACCAUUGCUCUAUCUCUAAAGUUUUCUUUUUCUCCUUUUCUCAGUGUCUUACCAAGAAUGAAAGGCAACCUAUGUAAAAACUAUGGGCUUUCUAGUAUAAAUAAAAACUACUCAUCUCCAGAAAAUAAACAAUGACUGCUAAGAUGAUUGAAAAAAGAAAGGAGAAGAAAGUAGCUUGUAAAAGCGUGUGAAAUGCAUUCACGUUGGAAUCUCCUACAGGCACUUCAGUCUGCCAGCAAUCCCACUACUGUGUAUCUACCCAGAGGAAAAGAAGUUAUUAUAUGAAAAGGACAUCUGCACAUGCAUGUUUAUAGCAGCACAAUUCACAAUUGCAAAAAUAUGGAACCAGCCCAAAUGCCAUCAAUCAAUGAGUGGAUGAAGAAACUGUGGUAGACAUAUACGACGGAAUACUACUCAGCCAUGAAAAAGAAAUGAAUUAAUGGCAUUCACAGCAACCUGGAUGGGAUUGGAGACUAUUAUUCUAAGUGAAGUAACUCAGUAAUGGAAAACCAAACAUCACAUGUUCUCACUCAUAAGUGGGAGCUAACCUAUGAGGAUACAAAGGCAUAAGAAUGAUACAAUGGACUUUGGGGACUUGGGUGAAAAGGUGGGAAGAGGGUAAUGGCAAAAGGACUACAAAUCAGGUUCAGUGUAUACUGCUUGGGUGAAGGGAGGAACCCGAAUCUCACAAAUCACCACUAAAGAACUUACCCAUGUAACCAAAUAGCCCAUGUUCUCCAAAACCUAUGGAAAUAAUUUUUUUUUUAGAAAAAGGUCCAAUCAGUUUGUUAAAAUAACCAUCUUUCAAUCUCUAAUUUCAAAAAACAACACAUCUUUAUUUUCGGAACCAUGUCAGAUUAAAGUCCUGAGAGAGAGAAUCUUUCUCUUAAGGAAGGGUCAAUGAAGAGUUAGCUUUCUGUCUCAGUCUUAACUGUAAUUCUAAAGUUUGCUUUUGCUCACCAUUUUAUCCACAUAAAUUAAAUAUCGGUUAACACAUUUAAUUAUAGUUUUUUUUUUCAAAA
rnacentral:lncRNA from 1 species